UCUACAACACAGCAGUUGUGGUCUGAACAUUGGGUGUAACAAACAAAUAUCCUCUCUGACAUUUGUUUUGCUAGUUUGUUUCCUCUGUUUGCCAUUAAAUUUAGGUUCCGUUAGUACUAUCUAAGCGGAGGGGUACUUUGCUCAGGUGUACUUGGCUGAGAUUACCUUUAUCAAGGCUGAUGGGUUCGCUUUUAUCUAAGCCGAGGGGUGAAGACGAAAAGCACGGAAAAGAAGACACAGACAACGAGUACGUGCUAAUCGAACUGUUAACAAUUUUCCCCUCAAGUUCUCCAUUCUAUACUUCUGACGACAUACGAUUUUCAAAUGAAACAACAAACUUUGAGCCAGACGAAAACAGGGAAAAUGUGCCACCUUCGAGUCAAAAAACCACCACGGGAGAGAAAGAAAAAUUUGAAGCCGAAUUAGACAAAGCAGUUAUCCAUUGGCCGGGAGGGGCAGAAAUAAAAUUUGAUCAAAACAAUGCUUUGAUGGAAUUCGUGAAAAUUCAAUACCCAGAGUGGAAAAAACCUGGGAACAAAAUCUCAAUUCCGUGUGUUAAAAUUCCGCGCAUUAUGAUAAGAAAUGUAGAUUUGAGCAAAGAACUGCAAACUUAUUACAAAUCGCUCGUGAAAGGAGAAGAAGGAGAAAAUAAAAUUUAUAAACUGUUUACGAAUGAAGUACUGACUGAAGACGCAGGAAUUAUUAUUUUUCCAAAUUUUGAUGGAAGUCACCUUUUUGAAGAAGGGGGCCCUGGUAGCGUAGAAAUUGACAUGAUUGUUGCUCACCCACAAAAAGGUUUGUUCAUUUUUAAUGUCAAAAACAAAACCAUCAAAAAAGGAAAAGAAACUGAAAACUUGAAACAGGAAACGAUGAAACACGCAAAAUUCUUAGGCUUCUUAUCAUUGUAUAGCACUCCUUGUGUAAACCUUUCUGAUAACAGUUGUCUUCCACUCGUUCCCAUUCAUGCGGUUAUUUGUUAUAUUCCCGGUGAUAACACUUCCAUAGCGAAACUGUCAGAGGAUAGCACUUGGUAUGCUAACGCAGAAAAUGGUGCCACAAACAAAGUUUUAGUUUUUCAAAAAGCAAGUUUCAAAAACUUCGCUUCGGCUUGGAAAGAUAGUUUGCAAGAAAUUCCCGACAUGACUGAAACAUACCACUUUGACGUUUUGGUUGCCCGUCUUGUGGCACUGAAUUCAAUGGGAGGAGCCAGCUCACUUAUCCAUCAAAAGUUUGAUUCAAAUGAAAUCCAGUCCAUUCAGGUUGAAAAGAAUAAACUGAAUUCAUGGAUUGACAAACAAUUCAGCGAAGUACUGACAGACCAAAAAGACGAUAAACAAGAUCUCAUGUGCCGCGUAAAAGAGCAAUGCCACAAUACAAAGAGUAAGAAAACUCGGGUAAUUCUCUGGACAAAAGAACAAUUGGACAUCAUUGCUGCCGUUUUCGUAUCACUUCAAAAGUCUUCAACGACAACACUGUUAUCGAAUGCGCCCAAACCGCUAAGAAUAGAAAUAAACGGGGCCAAGGGAUCAGGAAAGACAAUGCUGAUCAUCUACUUAGCGCAAUUAGCUUGUCGUAUCUUUGAAGAAAACGGCGAUAAACAGUGCAAGGUAGUUAUAUGUGACGGUUCUCGUGGUAAAGCUCGAGUUCUUUUCUCAGAGCUGAAAAACAGUUUGGGUGGAGCAAGCAUCGAAUUUUGGAAACUAGAAAAACUAUCUGAACUUCAAAGAGGUAUCGUUUUCAUUGACGAAGAGCUUACUACCUCCAGUCUUGUGAAAUUAUUCAAAAAAAUAAAUGGAAAUGUUCAUUUAUGUUUUGCUUCGUCAAAGGAACCUGGAAAUUUUGAUUUUAGAGCCUGGAAGUUGCAGCAUAUUCAGGAAUUCAAGCUCAAACAAACAUUGAGAUCCACAAAACAGCUGCACGCUUUUACAGAAAAUAUCUUUAGAAACAUUGUUGGAAGCCACAAGCUAACCGAAUUGUCGGGGAAUCCACCGCAUAGCUUAGAUGGUACUAAUAGAGCUGAUAUUGUAUAUAUUGAGUCUGCAGGUUGUCUUAAAACUGAGGCUUUCAUAGACAAAUGCGUUGAGACAAUAAUGAGAUAUGUUUUCUUGUCGUACGAAAUGCCGAGUAUUCUUGUCAUGAUAUCUUUUUUAUCACCAAAAGCUCAGAUAUCAGUAGUUGCUCUUCUAAAAGAGAAAGGACUGACUUUACGGUCUAACUCUUACAAUUUAGACCUCCAAGGCUGUCAGAUUUUGCCAAUAAUUCAACUGGAGUCUACCGAGUUUAUCAGGGGAAGUGAGUUUGGUACGGUUGUUCUUUUGCUGGAGAAAAAUUUCAACGGACCAAAUCUUGUGGAAUUCGUUGAUAGUUUCUUUAUGGGAAUAACGCGUGCGACAACAAACUUGGCAAUAGUUGUAGGCGACAUGUCUUACUUCGAAUCGCCACUGGAAGCAAAUGAGAUUUCUGAUUCAAUUUCGAAUCUAAAAACAAGAAGUUUUCAUAUUGAUGAAAACAGUUGUUCAAAAUACAUCACGGCGAUGCUUGAGGACAACGAAAUUUGUCAGCUGGACAAAAUUGUUGUCGUUAUUGGCAAUGUGCCAAAAUUGAAUUGCUUGGGAGAGACUGAAGUUACGCAACGAUACCUAAAUUGGUGCUCAACGAACGAAGUUAAACAGUACACGUUCAAGGGAAAUACAACAGUGCUAAAUCUAACAAAUAAAGCAAAAACAAUUUCAGAGGAAGCAUUAGACUGGUAUAAACAGCAGCGCAUUGCCGCGUUCAUAUUUGUUGUUGAACAUAGAUUCGACACGUUCAGUUUCCAAUUAUUGAAUCGGUCAGUUUCUGGAGGCUCAAAUGGCUGUUUUGUUAUAGAACUUACUUAUCUGACGGUUCCUUUAGUUGAUAUUACUCAAUUCUGUAAAGGCCUUCAAAAUCAAACAGAUGCACUUUGCAAGGAAUCUUUGGUGUUAUGUCCUCAAUUAGAUCAGUACACUAAGAGAAGAACCGAUGGUAACAAGUGUAACUUAAGCGAACUGAAAGAACUGUCAAUAGUAAUCAAAGCUCAUGUGGAUGCGCAUCCCGAAGACUUUUUGUUUGGGAUUAACCUAAUGGAAUGUUACUUAGAAGCAUACGAGCUGCUUUUCCUUGAGUAUUUCCAGUAUGUGAAAGGUGGUGAUCGAAAGCAAGCAGUAGUUAGAAGGCGAAAGGUCGCGGAUAUGCUGCAAAACUGUUCUAACUGCUUGCAUAAGCAAUUUGAAAUACUUUUUCAAAAAGAUAUGUUCGAUUACUUGUACCUUUGCGUCCACUACGCAAAAUGGUCUCUUUGGCUGAAUCCAGAUCUCUCAAACUUGAACGAAACAAUCAUCGAUAUCUGCCAAAAAUCAAAAGAUAAACUGGAACAGGAAAAAAUUAAUGCCAUUCGAUCAAAUGAUCAAAGUCAGAUUUUGGAUUAUGUAGUACCCGAGCACUGUCUUAACCUUAUACGAGGAUAUCAAAUUAGGAACUGGAACAACUUCAAAUGCCGAAUUGAAGCAGCUCAAAAACUUGACCUGAUUGGAGGUCACCAGAGUUCUGCUCAUAAUGUGUUAGCUCAACUGUCCCUUGAAAAGAAAAAAAUUCAGGAAUUACAGAACUUAGUCGAGACACUUACGAACGAAUAUCAAAACAAACUAAAGGAACCAAAAUCUUUUUUAGCAGAUAAACGAAUUCAGGUUGCUGAUAAAUGUGCUGAAGCUGCA